UUAUUUGAAACAGGAUACAACCUCACACACCGGGUAAGAAAAGGUCAAUAAAACCAAGCGGGCCUAAAAGCAGCCACCUUUAAGAAAGCGUUACAGCUCCCCCACACCUGACCUAAAAUCAUUUUAACAUUCACCAACCCUUAACCCCUACUGAACCACUUUAUACUACUAUAAAGAUUAUUAUGCUAGGACUAGUAACAAGAACUUGCUUUUCUCCUUAAUAUAAGCAUAAGCCAAAACGGACUAUCCAUUGGCAAUUAACGUUGAUGAACCCACUAUAACAACUCCAACUAGAAAAUCUUAUAUUUACUAACGUUAACCUUACACCAGAAUAUUAAAGGAAAGAUUAAAAGAAAAAGAAGGAACUCGGCAAACUCUAACCCCGCCUGUUUACCAAAAACAUCGCCUCUUGAUUUGUAUAGGAGGUCCAGCCUGCCCAGUGACAAUGUUCAACGGCCGCGGUACCCUAACCGUGCGAAGGUAGCAUAAUCACUUGUUCUUUAAAUGGGGACUUGUAUCAAUGGCAUCACGAGGGUUACACUGUCUCCUUUUUCUAAUCAGUGAAACUGAUCUCCCCGUGAAGAAGCUGGGAUUUUUAU
rnacentral:rRNA from 4 species